UACGUAGGUGGCAAGCGUUGUCCGGAUUUACUGGGCGUAAAGAGCGCGCAGGCGGUCGUUCAAGUCGAGUGUGAAAGCCCCCGGCUCAACUGGGGAGGGUCACUCGAUACUGAUCGACUCGAAGGCAGAAGAGGGAAGCGGAAUUCCCGGUGUAGUGGUGAAAUGCGUAGAUAUCGGGAGGAACACCAGUGGCGAAGGCGGCUUUCUGGUCUGCUCUUGACGCUGAGGAGCGAAAGCGUGGGGAGCGAACAGG
rnacentral:rRNA from 1 species